rnacentral:rRNA from 1 species
UGCCAGCCGCCGCGGUAAUACGGAGGGUCCAAGCGUUAUCCGGAUUUAUUGGGUUUAAAGGGUGCGUAGGCGGGUUAAUAAGUCAGUGGUGAAAGCCUGUAGCUUAACUAUAGAAUUGCCAUUGAUACUGUUAAUCUUGAAUACGGUUGUAGUAGGCGGAAUAUGACAUGUAGCGGUGAAAUGCAUAGAUAUGUCAUAGAACACCGAUUGCGAAGGCAGCUUACUAAGCCGAUAUUGACGCUGAGGCACGAAAGCGUGGGGAGCGAACAGGAUUAGAUA